rnacentral:rRNA from 1 species
GAGUUUGAUCCUGGUCAGGAUGAACGCUAGCGGCAGGCUUAACACAUGCAAGUCGAGGGGCAGCACGGGUAGCAAUACUUGGUGGCGACCGGCGCAAGGGUGCGUAACGCGUGAGCAACAUGCCCGUAUCAGGGGAAUAAUCCAGGGAAACUUGGUCUAAUACCCCAUAGCAAUUAUUUGAGGCAUCUUAAAUAAUUUAAAGCUUUGGUGGAUACGGAUUGGCUCGCGUGACAUUAGCUAGAUGGUAAGGUAACGGCUUACCAUGGCUACGAUGUCUAGGGGUUCUGAGAGGAAGAUCCCCCACACUGGAACUGAGACACGGUCCAGACUCCUACGGGAGGCAGCAGUGAGGAAUAUUGGACAAUGGAUGGAAAUCUGAUCCAGCCAUGCCGCGUGCAGGAAGACGGCCCUAUGGGUUGUAAACUGCUUUUGUAUGGGAGCAAUAAGGUCUAUGCGUAGACUGAUGAGAGUACCAUACGAAUAAGCAUCGGCUAACUCCGUGCCAGCAGCCGCGGGUAAUACGGGGAAGCAAGCGUUAUCCGGAUUAUUUGGGUUUAAAGGGUGCGUGGCGUUUGAUAAGUCAGCGGUGUAAUAUU